ACUGCGAAUGGCUCAUUAAAUCAGUUAUCGUUUAUUUGAUAGUACCUUACUACAUGGAUAACCGUGGUAAUUCUAGAGCUAAUACAUGCUAAAAACCUCGACUUCGGAAGGGGUGUAUUUAUUAGAUAAAAAACCAAUGCCCUUCGGGGCUCCUUGGUGAAUCAUAAUAACUUAACGAAUCGCAUGGCCUUGCGCCGGCGAUGGUUCAUUCAAAUUUCUGCCCUAUCAACUUUCGAUGGUAGGAUAGUGGCCUACCAUGGUAUCAACGGGUAACGGGGAAUUAGGGUUCGACUCCGGAGAGGGAGCCUGAGAAACGGCUACCACAUCCAAGGAAGGCAGCAGGCGCGCAAAUUACCCAAUCCCGACACGGGGAGGUAGUGACAAUAAAUACUGAUACAGGGCUCUUUUGGGUCUUGUAAUUGGAAUGAGUACAAUUUAAAUCCCUUAACGAGGAACAAUUGGAGGGCAAGUCUGGUGCCAGCAGCCGCGGUAAUUCCAGCUCCAAUAGCGUAUAUUAAAGUUGUUGCAGUUAAAAAGCUCGUAGUUGAACCUUGGGCCUGGCUGGCCGGUCCGCCUCACCGCGUGUACUGGUCCGGCCGGGCCUUUCCUUCUGGGGAACCUCAUGCCCUUCACUGGGCGUGCUGGGGAACCAGGACUUUUACUUUGAAAAAAUUAGAGUGUUCAAAGCAGGCCUUUGCUCGAAUACAU
rnacentral:rRNA from 1 species